GACGAACGCUGGCGGCGCGCUUAACACAUGCAAGUCGAGCGAAGCGGCGGACGGGUGAGUAACACGUGAGUAACCUGCCUUCGACAUUGGGAUAGCCUCGGGAAACCGGGAUUAAUACCAAAUGGUCUAAGAUGGACUCGCGUCCCAUUAGCUAUUUGGUGAGGUAACGGCCCACCAAGGCGACGAUGGGUAGCCGGCCUGAGAGGGGGAACGGCCACAGUGGAACUGAGAAACGGUCCAUACGUUACGGGAGGCAGCAGUGGGGAAUAUUGCACAAGGGAGGGAACUCUGAGGCAGCGACGCCGCGUGAACGAAGAAGGUUUUCGAGUCGUAAAGUUCUUUUAUAUGGGAAGCGGGACCAGAAGAAAAAGCCCCGGCUAACUACGUGCCAGCAGCCGCGGGAUAC
rnacentral:rRNA from 1 species